rnacentral:lncRNA from 1 species
CCUAGAUUGAUUGGUGUGAUUAGUAGAUAGGUUGGUUGGAAGAUGGGGUUUGAUUUUGCGUCCAUAAAAAGACUUUACCAUUUCCAAUAGGAUGAGAACAUUGCAAAGAAGAACAAUAUAAAAGGGUAGUGCAAAAGUACUAAUUCACAGAUGGUGGUGAUGCAAAGAAAUUAGCGAACACUGAUAGAAAUUCUUCAGCGGGGAUUUGUCG